UUAUUUAAUAAUUUCUGACAACUUACAGGAUGCAAGAAUUGUUUUUGUGUACUUGUGUAAAGAAGGCAUUAGUACAUAGACAAAAAUAUGAAAAUUACAAGUGGAAGGAGAAAUUUUUAACCCAAUAAUUCUCUCCAGUCACACUUUAAAAAAGUAAUAUAAAAAACUUAUCCAUUUAUGUAAAGAAAUAAAGGCCAACAACUACAAGGUUCAAAAG
rnacentral:misc_RNA from 1 species